AAAUAGUUCUACAAAUCUGAGCUGUUGGUGUGUCCUUGGAUUGUGUGGUAAUAAUAUUAGAGCCUGCAAGCUUUCUUACUGAAUCUCUACUAUGAGUCAUGUUACCUGAGAUUAAUUCUAUGUUUACCUGUCAGCCUGGACGAAUGUGCUGUGUGAAGGAAAUUAAAUUAAAUCAGAUCUGAACUGCGUACAUUUAAGGAACCUGUUCAUAUUUAAUAUGAACCAGUGAUUUUUUUGAUUGCUGAUUCCAAGAGAGUCUUUGUGGAAAUCCUGUUUGGCUUUUUGUUAUUUUAAUUCUCUUCUCUGUUUUCCAGAACAGUUCUCCACAGUCACUGUCCACAUGGGUCAGUGGCGCCAAGAAGCACUCUGCUAAUGUGGGACUCUGACCAGCAACAUCCAGCAGGACCCAGACAGCGUUUUCUAUCUCCCAGCUGGAGGUUUUGUUUGUCUGUAACUGGAGAGUCAGAUUUUUGUUGAGCUUCACACUUGCAGAGGUUAAUACACGCUACCGAUCCCUGAUAGGAGAAUCAUCAAUUUUGGCAACAAAGAAGCCUGGUGGAUGUUUGUUUACAGUCUGAUGGUGGGACAUCAUGCUCUGCAUCUUCAAAGUUUGCCUCCUCAUUAUUAUUCAUACCCAGUAAUGUGAAGUAUGCUCAUAUCUACUAUAACUGAACCAACCUGGUGCUCUUCAUUUAUGGAGGCUGUUGAGUCUGAAUGUUGGAUGUUGUGUAUCUCGUGUUCUCUGGGCUUUGUUGUCCUCAGUCUUUUCGCAGGAUCAGAAAACAAAACCAGGAGGCGCGUAAAUGUUGCUUCUCCAUGAUGUUUCUUCAAAUGUUUCUUCUGGAUGAUGAUAAGACUGUGACACGGGAUGCACCUUUGGUCUUGUGAUGAAGCAAAGCUCAGGAAGAAGUGGGAUUAAAUGGUACCCACAUGUGUGCUGCUGAGAAGGAUGUACAGGGGCACCUGCAGCCAAAUCCAAGCCUCAGGUUAGUUGUAGUUGCAGAAUGCUAUAGACUGAGACAGCUGAGGCAUCAAAUGUUUGAUUAAACGGAUGAAAAAGAGAAGUUUCUUCCCUAUAAUUAUCACUUCUUAAAAUCUGUAGCAACUUCAAGUCUGUCAGCGUGCGGAGCAUGCUCAGAAUGUGACAAUAUAUUUUUGUUCAAUAUUUAAUUUCUUUCAGUUGCAAUUGGUAAAUGAAAAAAAAUAUUUUCUUAUAAUUUAGCAAACUAAUUUAUCAAAAAAAAAAUAUAUACAUAUAUCUGUAUUAGUUUUAAUAAAUUAAUUUGACACCUGUAUGGAAAAUACCAUAUUGUAUUCAUACAGAAUCAGUUUGGUAUCAUUGUUGGUCUGCUCACUGAUUGUUGAAGCUAAGAGCUGCUUUGAUCUGUUUAGAUCUAAAGUAUCCAAAGUUGAGCUCUGAUGUUUCUUCACCCCUGUGUGUGUGAUAUGUGAUUCCUACAUGCUGGCAGAGCAGAGCAGCAGUUUUUGCUGACAGAUGGUGACGGUGUGGAGAGACGGUGGUGUUUCCUCAGAAGAACCAGCAGAGUCACUUGCUGACUGAUGCUCGUCUGCACUGCACAGAGGAAAUCAGCUGACCGAGGAGUGUUUCUGAGUGAGGGGGAGAGGAGUCAUCAUCCAGGUAAAGUGACGUGGAUCAGUGGACACACUUGUCUCCCCUUUAAAGGAGACGAUCCAAGUCAUCCUUAAAUAUGGGCAGCAUAUCAGUCUUGGACUGUCUAACCUGCCGGAGCAGCACUGAAUGACCACCACACACGAGCAUGUUCCUGCAACAUUCAGCAUCUGAUCCUUCAUCUGUGUGCUUCUGCUUUUGUGUCACAUGUCAAACAGCUGGAGAGGAAACUACACCAGUGUACUGGGAUGUUUCACCAACACACCAGAUGCUGUUCCUUCAUGGUGACAUCACCAGAGACAGCCCCGCCCACCUCAGGACCUCGCCAUUGAUCAUGAUGAUUAUAAUGAUGACAGCGAGCGGAACUAAGACUGUAAAAAUCCACGACCAGAAUGUUUCUUUCUAAUUAUGAAUGAAUACUGAGAGCCUCUUUCUGUGUUUUGUCUGUUUUGGGGUUGUUUUUUUUACCUCAUUUGUUACUAACAAAGUUCACAAACUCACACAGUUUACAUUCUGCAUGUUUCCAUCUUUACCAGCCACACUCCAACUGCAUUUAAGAAAAUAAUCCUUAGAAAUCGUCGUUUUUCUCUUUUGUAAUUGAUGAUAAUUCAGUGAAUAUACUGCGCUGCUUCCUUUUAUUGCGUCGCACAUUGCUUUAAGUUUUUCAGUGUCCAGUUAUUUUUUACUGCUGUUUGAAUUCUCUGUAUGUUUGACCCUGUAGACCAUAGGUGUCAAACUCUGGCCCGUGGGCCAAAUUUGGCCCGCAGCCUAAUUACAUUUGGCCCGCGAAGCCAUACCAAAUUACUAUUAGAGCAGGCCUACUGGUAUUAUACAGCUAAUAUAUAUAUUGUUUAGUAUUAGGCUUUGCUUGUUCCAUAUUCAGUUUUUCAGCAAAACUUGUUUGAGUCCAUAACAAAAGAUUCAUUCUUAUAUCUGGAGGAAGAUUUUUUUUCAAUAAAUAUUAACGUUAGCCCGCGACUUUGUUCCAGUUUUGAAUUUUGGCCCACUGUGUAUUUGAGUUUGACACCCCUGCUGUAGACUGUUUGAUGGACUGCUUGUCUUCCUGUUUGUAACCGCCGCCUGUUUUUUAAUAAAGAUUUGGAUUUCUGACUUCAA
ensembl:lncRNA